rnacentral:rRNA from 1 species
UCCCCAGACUCCUACGGGAGGCAGCAGUGGGGAAUAUUGCGCAAUGGGGGAAACCCUGACGCAGCAACGCCGCGUGAGUGAGGAAGUAUCUCGGUCUGUAAAGCUCUAUCAGCGGGGAAGAAGGAAGACGGUACCCGACUAAGAAGCCCCGGCUAACUACGUGCCAGCAGCCGCGGUAAUACGUAGGGGGCAAGCGUUAUCCGGAUUUACUGGGUGUAAAGGGAGCGUAGACGGUUAUGUAAGUCUGGAGUGAAAGCCCGGGGCCCAACCCCGGGACUGCUUUGGAAACUGUGUAACUAGAGUACAGGAGGGGCAGGCGGAAUUCCUGGUGUAGCGGUGAAAUGCGUAGAUAUAAGGAGGAACACCGGCGGCGAAGGCGGCCUGCUGGACUGAAACUGACGUUGAGGCUCGAAAGCGUGGGGAGCAAACAGGAUUAGAUACCCUGGUAGAC